UACGAAGGGGGCUAGCGUUGUUCGGAAUUACUGGGCGUAAAGCGUGCGCAGGCGGUUCUCCAAGUCAGUGGUGAAAGCCCGGAGCUCAACUCCGGAACUGCCAUUGAAACUGUAGAGCUAGAGUACGAGAGAGGUGAGUGGAAUUCCCAGUGUAGAGGUGAAAUUCGUAGAUAUUGGGAAGAACACCGGUGGCGAAGGCGGCGACCUGGUCCUUUACUGACGCUGAGGCGCGAAAGCGUGGGGAGCAAACAGG
rnacentral:rRNA from 1 species